GACGGAGGAUGCAAGUGUUAUCCGGAAUCACUGGGCGUAAAGCGUCUGUAGGUGGUUUAAUAAGUCAACUGUUAAAUCUUGAGGCUCAACCUCAAAAUCGCAGUCGAAACUAUUAGGCUAGAGUAUAGUAGGGGUAAAGGGAAUUUCCAGCGGAGCGGUGAAAUGCGUAGAGAUUGGAAAGAACACCGAUGGCGAAGGCACUUUACUGGGCUAUUACUAACACUCAGAGACGAAAGCUAGGGUAGCAAAUGGG
rnacentral:rRNA from 1 species